UACAGAGGUCCCAAGCGUUGUUCGGAUUCACUGGGCGUAAAGGGUGCGUAGGAGGCUGGGAAAGUCGGAUGUGAAAUCUCACCGCUUAACGGUGAAACUGCAUUCGAUACUACUUAGCUAGAGGAUCGGAGGGGAGAGCAGAAUUCUUGGUGUAGCGGUGAAAUGCGUAGAUAUCAGGAAGAACACCAAUGGCGAAGGCAGCUCUCUGGGACGGUACUGACGCUGAGACGCGAAAGCGUGGGGAGCGAACAGG
rnacentral:rRNA from 1 species